rnacentral:rRNA from 1 species
GUGGGGAAUUUUGGACAAUGGGCGCAAGCCUGAUCCAGCAAUGCCGCGUGCAGGAAGAAGGCCUUCGGGUUGUAAACUGCUUUUGUACGGAACGAAAAGGCUCUGGUUAAUACCUGGGGCUCAUGACGGUACCGUAAGAAUAAGCACCGGCUAACUACGUGCCAGCAGCCGCGGUAAUACGUAGGGUGCAAGCGUUAAUCGGAAUUACUGGGCGUAAAGCGUGCGCAGGCGGUUUUGUAAGACAGGCGUGAAAUCCCCGGGCUCAACCUGGGAAUGGCGCUUGUGACUGCAAGGCUAGAGUGCGGCAGAGGGGGAUGGAAUUCCGCGUGUAGCAGUGAAAUGCGUAGAUAUGCGGAGGAACACCGAUGGCGAAGGCAAUCCCCUGGGCCUGCACUGACGCUCAUGCACGAAAGCGUGGGGAGCAAACAGGAUUAGAUACCCCUGUAGUCC